rfam:Corchorus olitorius cultivar O-4 contig16668, whole genome shotgun sequence.
AAUGGGAUGAGAGAGCUUCCCUCAGCCCACUCACGGAUGGGAACAAGGGGGUUGAACUAGCUGCCGACUCAUUCAUUCAAGCACUCAGUAGAAAAUGGAUUUGGUGUUUUUGCUACUGUGAUUGUGUGAAUGAUGCGGGAGAUAUUUUUGCAUCCCUCUUUCUCCGUGCUUGGACUGAAGGGAGCUCCUUCUUUCUGUUUC